AAAAGUAGUGAAGCGUGUGAGCCAUGUGCCGAGAAAAGCUGCUAUUGUGUAAUGCGUGCCCGUACCGUAAACCGACACAGGUGGAUGAGGAGAGAAUCCUAAGGCCGACGGAAGAAGCAUUGUUAAGGAAUUCGGCAAAAUGACCCCGUAACUUCGGGAGAAGGGGUGCCUGCGAGAGCAGGCCGCAGAGAAUAGGCUCAAGCAACUGUUUAGCAAAAACACAGGUCUAUGCGAAACCGAAAGGUGAAGUAUAUGGGCUGACGCCUGCCCGGUGCUGGAAGGUUAAGAGGAGAGGUUAGCGUAAGCGAAGCUUUGAAUUUAAGCCCCAGUAAACGGCGGCCGUAACGAUAACGGUCCUAAGGUAGCGAAAUGCCUUGUCGGGUAAGUUCCGACCCGCACGAAAGGCGUAAUGAUUUGAGCACUGUCUCGACAAUGCAUCCGGUGAAAUUGAAGUACCAGUGAAGAUGCUGGUUACCCGCGCCAGGACGGAAAGACCCCAUGGAGCUUUACUCCAGUUUGAUACUGGGAUUCGGUACUGCAUGUACAGGAUAGGUGGGAGACAAAGAAGGAUGGACGCCAGUCUGUCCGGAGUCGCUGUUGGGAUACCACCCCUGUAGUACUGGGUUUCUAACCAGUUGCCAUGAACUGGCAAUGGGACAAUGUCAGGCGGGGAGUUUGACUGGGGCGGUCGCCUCCGAAAGGGUAUCGGAGGCGCUCAUAGGUUCCCUCAGAAUGGUUGGAAACCAUUUGAAGAGUGGAAAGGCAGAAGGGAGCUUGACUGCGACACCGACGGGUGGAGCAGGUGCGAAAGUAGGACUUAGUGAUCCGGUGGUAUAAAGUGGGAUUGCCAUCGCUCAACGGAUAAAAGCUACCCUGGGAUAACAGGCUUAUCACUCCCAAGAGUUCACAUCGACGGAGUGGUUUGGCACCUCGAUGUCGGCUCAUCGCAUCCUGGGGCUGUAGCAGGUCCCAAGGGUUGGGCUGUUCGCCCAUUAAAGCGGUACGCGAGCUGGGUUCAGAACGUCGUGAGACAGUUCGGUCCCUAUCCGGCGCGGGCGGAGGAUAUUUGAGAGGAGCUGUCCUUAGUACGAGAGGACCGGGAUGGACGGACCACUGGUGUAUCUGUUGUCGACCAACGGCAUGGCAGAGUAGCCAAGUCUGGAAGGGAUAAACGCUGAAGGCAUCUAAGCGUGAAGCCCCCCUCAAGAUGAGAUAUCCCUCCUUCGGGAGUAAGACCCCUUGAAGACUACAAGGUAGAUAGGGCAGAGGUGGAAGCAUGGCAACAUGUGGAGCUGACUGUUACUAAUAGGUCGAGGGCUUAAU
rnacentral:rRNA from 1 species